AUUCCAGCUCCAAUAGCGUAUAUUAAAGUUGUUGCAGUUAAAAAGCUCGUAGUUGGAUUUGUGGUGUACUUCGGCGGCCCGUCACUAUGUGAUGGAGCUUGCUGAAGUCGCCAUCCUUGGGUGGAUCCUGUGUGGCAUUAAGUUGUCGUGCAGGGGAUGCCCAUCGUUUACUGUGAAAAAAUUAGAGUGUUCAAAGCAGGCUUAUGCCGUUGAAUAUAUUAGCAUGGAAUAAUAAGAUAGGACCUUGGUACUAUUUUGUUGGUUUGCGCACCAAGGUAAUGAUUAAUAGGGACAGUUGUGGGUAUUCGUAUUCCAUUGUCAGAGGUGAAAUUCUUGGAUUUCUGGAAGACGAACUAAUGCGAAAGCAUUUACCAAGGAUGUUUUCAUCG
rnacentral:rRNA from 1 species